rnacentral:tRNA from 3 species
GCGCCUGUAGCUCAGUGGAUUAGAGCACUAGUCUUCGGAACUAGGUGUCGGGGGUUCGAAUCCCUCCAGGCGUACUA